rnacentral:misc_RNA from 1 species
UCAAACUUGGUCAUUUAGAGGAAGUAAAAGUCGUAACAAGGUUUCCGUAGGUGAACCUGCGGAAGGAUCAUUAAUGAUUUGAAUCGUCACUGUCUGUGCUGGCUUCGGCAUGUGCACGUCGGUUGACUUUCAUCCAACACCCUUGUGAACCUUUGGCCUCGCGCUGGUUUCGACCGGCAUGGGGAUUUUACACAAACUCGAAUGUAAUGAAACUAUGUUUUGUGCGCAAGCACUAAUGUACAACUUUCAACAACGGAUCUCUUGGCUCUCGCAUCGAUGAAGAACGCAGC